GGAGGGGUGGCAGAGUGGUCUAUCGCGCUUGCCUCGAAAGUAAGAGGGUCCGCAAGGGCUCCGUGGGUUCGAAUCCCACCCCCUCCGCCA
rnacentral:tRNA from 1 species